AAUUUCUCAUUCUCCGCUUAACUUAACCAUUUUUCUCUUCGCUAUCGUUAUUGAGCCAUGGCGCAGGAAAGAUUCAUCAUUGAGGUUGAAAAAGCGAAGGCAGCAACGGAGGAUAAACCUUCAAGAGGACCUGCGUAUCGCAGUAUCUUCGCUAAGGAUGGAUUUCCUCCUCCUAUUCCUGGUCUUGAUAGUUGCUGGGAUGUUUUUCGAUUGUCUGUUGAGAAAUAUCCAAAUAAUCCUAUGCUUGGUAGCCGAGAGAUUGUGGAUGGGAAGCAUGGCAAGUACAAGUGGCAAACUUACAAAGAAGUAUAUGACAUGGUGAUCAAAGUCGGAAAUUCUAUCCGCAGCUGUGGUUAUGGAGAAGGUGUAAAAUGUGGUAUUUAUGGUGCCAAUUCUGCAGAGUGGAUUAUGAGCAUGGAGGCUUGCAAUGCUCAUGGACUUCAUUGUGUUCCUUUAUACGAUACCUUAGGUUCUGGGGCCAUAGAAUUUAUCAUAUCCCAUGCAGAGGUCUCAAUUGCAUUUGCAGAAGAAAAGAAGAUACCUGAGCUAUUGAAGACAUUUCCAAAUGCAACAAAAUAUCUCAAGACAAUUGUGAGCUUCGGAAAGGUUACCCCUGAACAAAAGCAAGAAGUUGAAAAGUUUGGAUUGGCAAUAUAUUCAUGGACUGAAUUUUUACAAUUGGGUAAAAGUCAUAGUUUUGAUUUACCUGUAAAGAAAAGAAGCGAUAUCUGUACAAUAAUGUAUACUAGCGGAACUACUGGUGACCCCAAGGGGGUAUUGAUAUCCAAUGAGAGUAUUAUUACCCUCUUAGCUGGGGUGAAGCGACUAUUGGAGAGUGUCAAUGAAAAAUUGACUGAGAAGGAUGUGUACUUAUCAUACCUUCCUCUCGCACACAUCUUUGAUAGGGUCAUUGAAGAGACAUUUAUAUGGCAUGGUGGUUCAAUAGGCUUCUGGCGCGGGGAUGUUAAACUAUUAAUUGAAGAUCUCGGGGAGCUAAAACCAACUAUUUUCUGUGCGGUACCCCGUGUACUUGAUAGAGUGUACUCUGGUUUGACACAGAAAAUUUCUUCUGGAGGCUUCCUGAAGAAGACAUUAUUCAACUUUGCUUAUUCAUAUAAGUUGAAUAACAUGAAGAAAGGACAAAACCAUGCAGUAGCAUCUCCACUUCUUGACAAAAUUGUGUUCGAUAAGGUGAAGCAAGGUUUAGGGGGUAGUGUACGUCUUAUUCUGUCUGGAGCAGCACCUCUAUCCUUGCAUGUGGAAAGUUACCUACGUGUGGUGACUUGUGCUCAUGUCCUACAAGGAUAUGGUCUGACUGAAACCUGUGCGGGAACCUUUGUCUCAUUACCAAAUGAACUAGAUAUGCUUGGAACAGUGGGUCCUCCUGUACCAAAUGUGGAUGCGUGCCUGGAAUCUGUUCCUGAAAUGGGUUACGAUGCCCUUGCAAGCACGCCAAGAGGAGAAAUUUGUGUAAAGGGAGAUACCUUGUUUUCGGGGUACUACAAACGCGAAGAUCUCACAAAAGAGGUUCUGGUUGAUGGAUGGUUCCAUACAGGGGACAUUGGAGAGUGGCAACCUAAUGGAAGUAUGAAGAUUAUUGAUCGGAAGAAGAAUAUAUUCAAGCUUUCCCAAGGAGAAUAUGUUGCCGUUGAAAACCUGGAGAAUAUUUAUAGCCAAGUUCCUUCUGUUGAAUCUAUAUGGGUUUACGGAAACAGUUUUGAGGCCUUCCUUGUUGCUGUUGUUAACCCCAGCAAACCAGCACUUGAACAUUGGGCAGAAGAAAAUGGUAUAUCCGUGGACUUCAAUUCUCUCUGUGGAGAUUCUAGGGCAAAAGGUUACAUACUUGAUGAGCUCUCAAAGAUUGGAAAGGAAAAGAAGUUGAAAGGAUUUGAGUUCAUAAAAGCAGUCCAUCUUGACCCAGUUCCAUUUGAUAUGGAACGUGACCUUAUCACUCCAACAUAUAAGAAGAAGAGGCCCCAGUUGCUUAAAUACUAUCAGACUUGAAACUGAACACUCGACAUGGUAGCUGAAUCCUAAGUAAUUUGGAAUACCUAACGUGAAUGUAAUGUUAUUGAUGACAUGUACAAAAGUGGAAAUAAACCCCGUGCCUGAGAGAUGCUUUUGGAGUUGGUGCCAUGCCAUGUAGAUAAUUCAUUUUCUGCAUGUGAUUGUGCUUGCCUUUGUUCAUUUAUUAUUUCCUUUUGGUUAUUGUCUGUACAUAUGAUUAUGAAGAGACGGCAGAUGAUCUGCCUCACUCAACCGUGAAAGAUACGAUAAUACAAAGUUUAAACAAAUUGUUUUCUUCACCUCUAGCAAUAUUCGUUGCAAACUUUUGUUAGGAAAAUAAAAUAUUAUUCCAUUCCUUAUCAAAAUUAACAGUGGUGUAGUUCUUGUUUUUUACUUAGUGAUGUUUUCAAAGAUUUAUACAAUAAGCAGUGAAUGUGAA